rnacentral:rRNA from 1 species
GACGAACGCUGGCGGCGUGCUUAACACAUGCAAGUCGAACGAAGAGCGAUGGAAGCUUGCUUCUAUCAAUCUUGGUGGCGAACGGGUGAGUAACGCGUAAUCAACCUGCCCUUCAGAGGGGGACAACAGUUGGAAACGACUGCUAAUACCGCAUACGAUCUAACCUCGGCAUCGAGGAUAGAUGAAAGGUGGCCUCUAUUUAUAAGCUAUCACUGAAGGAGGGGAUUGCGUCUGAUUAGCUAGUUGGAGGGGUAACGGCCCACCAAGGCGAUGAUCAGUAGCCGGUCUGAGAGGAUGAACGGCCACAUUGGGACUGAGACACGGCCCAGACUCCUACGGGAGGCAGCAGUGGGGAAUCUUCCGCAAUGGACGAAAGUCUGACGGAGCAACGCCGCGUGAGUGAUGACGGCCUUCGGGUUGUAAAGCUCUGUUAAUCGGAACGAAAGGCCUUCUUGCGAAUAGUUAGAAGGAUUGACGGUACCGGAAUAGAAAGCCACGGCUAACUACGUGCCAGCAGCCGCGGUAAUACGUAGGUGGCAAGCGUUGUCCGGAAUUAUUGGGCGUAAAGCGCGCGCAGGCGGAUUGGUCA